UUGUGUUUGUAAUCAAAAAAAUGAAGUGAACUUCAGUGCAGUUAUGCAGCAAAAGGUAAUCCAAGCCAUAUUCAUUAUAGCAUUUAUUGUUUGAAACAACAGCCUCUCCUGAAGAACUAUCCAAUUAGACACCAUCAUUUUAUCAAUCAAAUUAUUCCAUUGAAUAUAAACACUCAGCUUUAUAGAACACCCUUGUGUGUUAUCAGGAUGAAUCAUUCAUUUACUUUGCCGAAGUUUUAAAGAUAUUUAAAGUGUUUAGAUAUCAAAUUGUAAUCUGGUUUUGUCUGAGGAACUCCUGUUUGCAGAGUCAAGUGCAAGAGGCAGGUGGAAUUGCAGUACGUAAGCAGGUCAAUAUUUCUUCAAUGUAUACCCUAUAUCUGUAAUGAAAUUUCUGCAGUUAUGAUCCAACCAAUCUUUGGCACCAGUAUUCCAUGGCUAGGAAUUUCUAAAACUGACCAGGAAAUAUUGCCGAUAUAUUGGUUAUUUCUACUUUUGUUUGGGGGCCUGAGAAUAUAUUGUUUGUGUAUUUAACAGUAUUGUGUAAAUAAUCAGUUUUACUCUUUUGUUGACAUUUCCUGCUUUCAGAAAUAAGUUGUGCGCUGUAUCCUGUAAAGAACUCGCAGGCAUACUUGUUCUCGGAUCACACCUCAAGUAGGAUGUUGUAUUAGAAACCUACAGCUGGUACAUAUGCUAUGUCAGCAAACAUUUUUUCACAUAAGCAUAUUAAAGCAUAUUAAAAACAUCCCUUGUGAGCCAAGCACACUACAAUAAGAGUGCAAUUGUUCUGCAUCUAUACCGAAGUCUCUACUGGCAUCAAUACUUCAGUCAGAAUCAUGUUUUCACAUGCCUAAUGGACAGGACUGUGCAAGCUAAACAUUUUUGCAGAAACAUUUUUAAAGACUUGCUGUUCGAGUCUUCUGACUUCAGCUUACACUCCAACAUUUCUACACCAAAUACUGCAGAUCUUUUACCCUACACAGAAGCUGCUGAACUGUCAUCAGCAUUCUAACUUGUGGAGAAACGUCCUGCUGUAACAAACCAACCUAUCCCAAACAUUACAAAAAAAAAA